GAAGUGCUUAAGAUGCCUCCUAAAUAAAUCACAUAUGGGUAAGACAAAAAACAGACUAGUGGUGUUUUUCGUUUCCUCCUCCACUAAAGGAGUCUAACUAAGGGGACCUCCAGACUGCGAGGAGGAGCCCACCAAAUUUCAGUCUGCUGAGAGCCACAGGCAUCCAAAGGAGCUGAGCCAGCAGCUGGCUCAAGUGUGGCGGGGAGAAAGCAGCGCUCCGCUGCAGCGGGCAGCCCUGCGUGGUCUCCAAGGGCUUGGGCCGGGGCUUUCGCCUGCAGCGCGGGCCAGGGCGCAGGCAUGCACUCAGCAGCCCUGUCCUGCUGUGCUGCGAAGCCGCCAGAGCCUCUGCAGAUGCGAAGAACGCUGCACCUGGAGCCGCGGACAGGAAUUUGGUUUGGUUUACAGGUGAUCUACUUGGCUUUCCUCCAGAGGUGGGUGGCAGCAGCAGGAAGGAGCCUGGCAGUGUGGGAGGAGACAGGACAAGCGUCAGGGGAAGAAUUUCCAGGUGUUGUUGGUGUUGGUUCAUCUCCACUGGCGAGAGUGGACGUGCAGAUACCUGCCACCUGAAGAACUCAGUCAUCGUGUACAUUUGAGUAACUUAACACAUUGCUGACUUAUUUGUACCACUGACUUAUUUGAUUUUACCGUGGCCAAGCUUAAGGAAGAUAAAGGACAUUCACCUGAAACUUGGGGAGGCCACAGAUUCACUGGUGCCCUGGAUGCUGCCCAGCAUCCCUCCUCCUCAGGCUCCUGUGGGGCUCACUCCCCUGCUCCUCCCCCUUCCUCUUGAGCAGCUCCUCAGUCUCCUUCUCCAGCGCCUGUUCCUUCUUCUAAAAGCUGUGUCCACAACAACAUGACUUGGGCUGCCAUCUGUUCCUCUCCACACCCUAUUCUUGCCCCUCCAGCCAGAUGCUAUGCAUGGUUUCCACCUGUCACAGGUCUCUUGCUUCAGCACUCCAGUCCCUGUUUUCCAGUGGCCCUCUAGAUACCAUCACAGCACCAUCAUCCUAUUAGUGCAAACUUUAUGAAUAUUUAAUUGCCAGGCAGUAAGCUACACCCUUUAUAUGCACUGUCUUGUUUUAAUCUUACUGGGAGGUGCCAGCCUAUGGAGAGGGAACUGAAACUUUAAGAGGCUAAAUAAAUUAGGUGCCCAAGACUGCAGAGUGCAUGCAAAGCACAGUGGACUCUUAGUCCUGCCAACUCUUAACUCCACUCCUUCACCAGAACAGUAAACUUAACAUAUCCCACACUGAACUCAGAUUCAUCCCUACCCCCUGGCUCUCCUGGAAUGUCCUUGUUUAUAAUGUUAGCACUACUAUUCCUAAAACAGAAACUCCAAACCUGGCAUUAUCUUUGACUCCUAAAAUAGAUAUGAUGGGUCUGGGUAAUGUGUCUGGAUAAUGUGUCCACCCCUAGAUCAAUCCCCUUUGACUAAGCAGCAGACUAGCUGAGACCUAACAUGACAACUGGGGCCUUGCCUGAAAUAGGGAUUGUUCCCAGACAGUUGAGCACCUAUGGAAAUGUACCCAAGGUUCUUUCACACACACAAAAAAAAUGUUUGCAACAUGCCCUGCCCUUACAACAUGAAAGUCACCAUAUAAAAAGAGAAGCCACAGAAUAAGAAGCAAAACAGUAUUGUUCUGCAAGAGACCAGCAAUUCAAUCACAUGAGAUGGAAGGCAAUUCCCACACCUUGUAUGAGUCUCUGGUGGUUAACAGUCAACAGUGAUGUGUUCAUGUUCAACAAAGUUCACUAGGAGGACUAGACAAGAACAGAAAACUACCCAAAUGACCAUUGGCAAUAGACCAGAUAAAAUAUGGUUCGUUCAUACAAUCGACUACUUCAGAGCAACGAAAAUUAAUGCUCUACAAACCCACACAGCAAUACUGCUGAAACUCACAAGGCAAAGCAAAAAGAAGCCAGACCCAAAACAAGAGUUCAGCGUAUGAUUGCCUCCAUGUGAAGCAAGAAAGAGGCAAAACGAAGGAAUUCCACCUCAAGGAAUCCACUGGAGGACAGCAGAGCAGCUAAGUGGGCUGGUAAUGCCGUCUCCUGUGCUAGACACCGGGUACUCACGCGUGUUCAGAUUGUCAAAAUUCAUCCAGCUGUUCACAUACCCUAUCUGCCCUUUUCUAUAUGUAUAUCAUCCUUCAAUAAUAUUGAAAUGAUGGCGGAGUGCUCAAAUAAAGGCACCUUUAAUCAGCCUUGAACUUCAACACCAAGAUUAUCCUAGAGUGACCAGUUACUGUCACCCCUGCCCCGUCCAUUACCCCACCUUCUGAGAGAACCAGCAACCUUGGGAAAGAGCCACAUUACUUACCACAUGGCCUCAUCUCCUCUGGCCCAGCCUGGCUAGAUAUCCCUCUCCUGGACACUUGGGAGUGGGACACUAUGAAGCCGAGUCACAAGAUCCGGUCUGCUUGAUCUGACAACUUAUACGGACUGGAGGAAGGAGUUUCUAGACGCGUGCACAGUGAUAACAACAAGAAAGAUGACCUGCAGGACUCAGAAGAGGAGAGCCCACGUACAGAGGAAAGCAUAUGAUCCAAGAGAGAUGGAGGGAGAUGCCACAGAGGUGCCGACUUUCAGCCCUGGUUCCCAGACCCCAGCUUCAUCAGGUACCCAUGAGAUUAUUUGUGUGGCCUUAUUAUUAAUAAUAAUAAGCUAUCACAGCUUUUUGUUUCCAGCAAUCAAAUAUGCCCUGACUGAAGUUACAGUAUUCUUCCCUGGAAAAAACUGCACAGUUAUUAUGU
rnacentral:lncRNA from 1 species